rnacentral:pre_miRNA from 1 species
UAUUAAAAAUUUCAUCCAUUUGUAUUAUUAAAAACUAGUGUGACGGACAGAAUAAUCAGACGAUGACACGUAGUGUACAAUAUGUAUCUCAUGCUAACAUAUAGAGAUCAGUUUUUAAUGGUGGAAAUGAAAGAAAUUUUUACCA